rnacentral:rRNA from 1 species
GAUGAACGCUGGCGGCGUGCCUAAUACAUGCAAGUCGAGCGAACGGACGAGAAGCUUGCUCCUCUGAUGUUAGCGGCGGACGGGUGAGUAACACGUGGAUAACCUACCUAUAAGACUGGGAUAACUUCGGGAAACCGGAGCUAAUACCGGCUAAUAUUUUGAACCGCAUGGUUCAAUAGUGAAAGACGGUUUUGCUGUCACUUAUAGAUGGAUCCGCGCUGCAUUAGCUAGUUGGUAAGGUAACGGCUUACCAAGGCAACGAUGCAUAGCCGACCUGAGAGGGUGAUCGGCCACACUGGAACUGAGACACGGUCCAGACUCCUACGGGAGGCAGCAGUAGGGAAUCUUCCGCAAUGGGCGAAAGCCUGACGGAGCAACGCCGCGUGAGUGAUGAAGGUCUUCGGAUCGUAAAACUCUGUUAUUAGGGAAGAACAGAUGUGUAAGUAACUAUGCACGUCUUGACGGUACCUAAACAGAAAGCAACGGCUAACUACGUG